GGUGGGGGUCCCCCGUGGCCUCAGGAUGGCUGCAAUGUGAUUGUGAGAGCCGGGAUGAAGUCAGCACUGACAAAGUGAGGGGAUUGAUGGAUGGACAAAGCAGGGAACUGGAUAAGCCUCUGGAAGGACUCAUGUCCUCCAUCCCUGCCUACGGCAAGACUUCCCCAAGGGCCCUCUGCUCUUGGGGUACAGGUAUGGUGAAUCAUUCUGAACAGUGUGAUAAGUUCUAUACUCAGAGUUAAAGCCCAGCCUGCACACUGAGAUCACUCAGGGAACUUGUAAAAGGAGUACCCCAGACCAAUUCUAUCAAAUCACUGAUGAUGGGCACAGGGAUUGGGAUUGUAUGGAAAUGUUCUCCAGGUGAUUUUAAUACCACCUGGCCAAGAAGUGGAGCUGCUGUUUAUUCUCCCAGCGGCUCUGCGUACAUGCUCUGCCCGGGGAGUUGCCUGGGAUGAGCUGUGAGUCCUCUGAGAACUGCUUCCCGUUUGGUCUGGUAACUCCUAAGCCUGCCUUUCUUUCCUACAGUCUGCAUUUGAGGAAAUCUGCGCAUUUGAAGUUUGGAGGAGAUCAAUUUUUCAUCCUUUCCUUGGUGGGAUAAGGAAUAUUUCAACCACCUCUGGAGACCAAAACGCUCUGAGAAGUUUUGAAAUAGCUUGGGAAAUACACCACAUGCUUCACACUUCUUUUUUCUCCACUCUCUUUCGUUGUUCCACUUAAUUAAAAUAUUGUAAUGCAAGAAGGAGAGAGACAAAUGUUUAGAGAAGGGAAAGGAAAUGGGUUCAGGUUUAAAUUGACUCUGAGCAAGCAGGGCGAUGGUAGUUUGAAAGAAUUUUGAGCAUGUAGGAAGGUAAACGCAAAAGGUUCUUCCUGCCUGAGAAGUGAUUAAAAUACCUGUGAGCUCCA